AUCGUAGUUUGGAUUAGCAACCCAAACAUAUAGCCGCUUUGGUAGAAUAGAAUGUAGCUGGAGUACAGGAAAACCGACCCAUAAGUCUAUUCGUAAAUCCCACAG
rnacentral:sRNA from 12 species